GAGAGAGAGGGAGAGGGAGAGGGAGAGGGAGAGGGACAGAGAGACAAAGACGGAGAAAAGGAGACCAGAUGGAACCUAUAGGAGAAGAUGAUGAGCCAGAACCAGGUGGUCCUAGGAGCAAUAAUCAUCUGGGAAGAGGAACCUCUAUUGAGAAAAUGCCUCCUUCUGAUUACCUAUAGGCAAGUCUGUGGGAUAUUUUCUUGAUUAACGGUUGAUGGGGAAGGAGCAAGCCCACUAGGGUCACCCUGGGGCAGAUGGCUCUGGCUUUCAUAAGAAAGCAAGCUAAGCAAUCCAAGGCAGCAAACUUGUUUUCUACUUGAGUUGCUGCCCUGACUUCCCUUCAGGGUGGACUAUAAGCUGAAAGGUAAAAGAAAUGCUCUCUCCCCUCCUUCCUGCCCCGUGCUCCAAAGUUGCAUUUGGUCAUGGUGGUUUGCACAUCAGUAAAAAGCAAACUAG
rnacentral:lncRNA from 1 species